UACGUAGGGCGCAAGCGUUGUCCGGAAUUAUUGGGCGUAAAGAGCUCGUAGGCGGUUUGCCGCGUCUGCCGUGAAAGCCCGGGGCUCAACCCCGGGUCUGCGGUGGGUACGGGCAGACUGGAGUGCAGUAGGGGAGACCGGAAUUCCUGGUGUAGCGGUGAAAUGCGCAGAUAUCAGGAGGAACACCGAUGGCGAAGGCAGGUCUCUGGGCUGUAACUGACGCUGAGGAGCGAAAGCAUGGGGAGCGAACAGG
rnacentral:rRNA from 1 species